CAGAAGUUGAUGCAGAGUCUCAGUUGAACACUUUAUAAGAUUUGUGGAGAUUUCUCUGCGUGGUAGUUAUCAACAGAAAAGGAAUGGGGCAUCAACUUGAUUUUGAAACUACAUGAAACCAAAGACUUUAUGUGUUGUAAAUAGUGUUUUAUCAAUUUUUACAGAAAGGAAACAAAAUUUUUUUUUUUUUUUACAAAAAAACCCAUAACAAAGGAUCUUCGACUAUACUCUGUUGUACCUUUAAUCAUACUGAAACCGAGUGAGCGCCCUUCGAGAUAUGUUUGUAUAGAGUUGCUUGCCUUGAAUUUGUUUGUGGUUUGAAAUCGACGCCGCGGCGGUGAAGGAAAAUAUUAUUAUAGGACUUGUUUGGUUUUUUUUUCUCUUAAAAAAACCCCUUAACCACGGUGAUCCGACACUGAGCCGCGGCGGAGAUCAACUAAUCCCGGUGAAUACGAACCUUUUUUUGAGAUGAAAUAAUUAUUAUUGAUAGUUAUUUACAUGGCAGUGCUCAAGUUGUCGACGACAGAAUGAUUAUCAUCAUUGAGGUCUGUAUUUCUAUAUAUGUGUGGUUUUAUUUUUUUUUUCUCUCUCUCGUCAUGUUAUCAUUUUUUCCCUCUUCCUCUUCAUCGUAGUGAAUUACGGAGCCAGAGACAAAAAAUGUUGAUGUUUUUUAUUAUAACUUUUUAUUAGAGGCCCGACACACAGAAUAAUUUCUCUAGGUUUUUUUUUAAGUAAUAUAAAUAAAUUGUGCUCAAUCUGAAUUUUGAAUCAAGAUUUUUAUACAUUGCUUCGUUGAAUAGCAACUUAUGACCUGAAAUUUUUAAUUUGUUUAAAAAUCGCCUUGGUACAUUGAACAGGGUGGGUUAUUGCCUCCCAAAGAUAAACCUUUAGGAUCAUUAGAAUAUGGCUUUGAAAAUCUGAAGAAGAACAAAUGGCUUCGAAUCGGUGACCUGAAAACGUAAACAAUCUCACUCUUGGCCUAGAUCUCACUUUUACAUAAGGGAAAUGACGUUGAAAAAAAAUAAAAGACAGAGAUCAAAAGUAAGUAAGUUUAAGUGUCAUGGUCCCCGAUCUUUGUCGGUGGAAUUAAUUCUUGUUUAACUGACUGAUUUUUUUGUUGUUGAUUUAUUAUCAGACAUGCCAGUUGGUGUUCUUAUUAAUAUCACAUGCUAAGCGGGUGGAAUGUUCCUCCUACAAUUUUACAACUUUUUAGUUUUGAAUCAGCUAUGUUCGACCCACGAUCAAUGAACCUGGGUUCCUCUUACAUGAUGAAGGCGUUAAAGAUUUACUUAUUUAUCAAACGUAUUUAUUGCUAUUUUGAGACCAUUUAGCGGUACAAGUCCACCAAACCUUGGUGAGUGGAAAAGAUACGGGCAUUAAAUGAAAUCUUUUUAUAUAAAACAAAUAUUUACAAGUGAAAUAAAGGAAAUUGUGUGAAAUAAAUCAGAAUUUUUAAAUGGUUGUAAAUGGAUUUUUGAACAGUGGAUUUUGUUGUAUCAACUUUGUAAGCUUUAGUGCAUAUAUACGAUUAUGUCAAUUUGUCAUCAAUUCUUUGCUCUUUUUUUAAAAUGUGUGUUGACCUCUAAAAUACGUACUGGCAUUGUCGCAUGCAAUGACAUCAUUUAAAUGUAUGACGUCAUUAAAGGAGGGAAAAAACCCAAGACUACAGUUAAAAAACAAAGAGACUCGAGAUGUUUUCUAUCUUGAUAUUCCUCAAUUUGUAGUUACUGUGUAUUUAAGAUUUAGAAAUCGUCCGUGUGUUAAUGUGUCAUUGCCUGUUGAACUGCUAGUAUGUAUUUUGAAUAUAUAUACCUCUGGUCUGGAGCCGAGCAUCAUUGUAUUCUUAGGUUGGUAACACGAUCAUCAUGUAAUAAACCAAUACUCUGU
rnacentral:sRNA from 1 species